rnacentral:lncRNA from 1 species
CUACAGACUGUGAGCUAAAUAAGCCUUUCCUCCUUUAACUUUGGGUGUCGGGUAUUUUGUCUUGGCAAUGAGAAAAGUAACCAAGACAUGGACAUUAGGUGAAGAAUUUCCUGACUUGACUUAAAACUGGAACUCAGUUGAACAGAAGCAAGCAGAGCUGGGGUUUUCUGCUAGCCUAAGAACUAACACAAAAACGCUGUAGGCAAAGAAACACGUCAAAGGGAUGGGAGUCAGCAGGUCCCACCGGGAACAUGCACCACCUGACUCGUCCUUGCUCUUCAUCUUCUUUGCUCCCUGGUGGCCAUGGAGCCACAGCUGCUGUGAGAGGGAAGAGACUUUGCAUGGCCAGCACUGCCUGCCUGCAGGACCACAGGCCAGCACAUUAGAGAGGAUGCGAAGCACCAGAUGAGGAAACUGAUACCCAGAAAGGUUCUGUAACCUCCCUGCGGUCUUGGAAUGAGUGUAAGAGCAGCUAUAGGCCCGUGUCUGACAUCAACACCUGCACUCAAUCAACAGGGUGAGAAAAAAUAGCCCCAAGGGAAAGACAAUUCUAAUGAGUCACCAGAGGGAGGAUAGGUACUCUGUGGGGCAAGUUUCUCCAAAAUCGUUCAAAUUCUCCAACUUCUGCCAACCAAAAAUACUUGCAAGGUGGUCAGCCUGGGGAAGAGUCAAGUCUACAGUCAUAUAACAGAAUUUUUCUCUAAAUGAGAAUAACUAACUGGUCCAUACAGAAAUACAGGUAAUGUGCCCAGGGUAUUAGGAAAUAAGCCCUUGGCCAGAAGUAGAAGACAUAAGGUGGGGGGAAAGAAAAGAAGAUUAGCCUUCCUUUUCAUUAAACCUUUUCAGAGAAAGUACAUCAACCCGUUUCCUCCCUCCUUUGUAGUAAACAUGGGGCAGAGAGCACACACAAAAAAUCAAAUCCACCCAAAAAAGAUUUUCCAAGGGAAAUAAUAAUCUCAAUCCCAGAAUUUGUGCAGGCUGGCGAGAUCUGGAGGAGCAUCAAGGAAGAUCUCAGGAUAAUGGUACUGGUCAGCAAAUUAGAUGCACCACUGCAAUCCCACAAAGCAGCAAAAGUCAACGCCAGUGUGACUUGCAAACUUUGCUAGCCAAGACUCCAGUCACACUGGAGUCAGAAGAGGGGUCGGUGCCCACUUUGUCACCCUCAGUGUCCAGUCUGACCUCAGGCUGGAAAGCUCAUGUCCAGUGCCCCAGUAUCCCAGGAGGCAAAGAGGUGGAACGGGGCAGAGGAGAAGGAAAAAAACGUUGCUGGGGAAGAAAGAGCGAAGAAGGAACUUUAAAAUCAGAGCUCUG